GCACAGGAGGGAAGAGCAAAACAAAUGUCUAUAAGGCACAAAUCAAUCUUCAGCAGAUCAAAGGUCUCCUUGAGUAAGUGGAUGCAAUUCAUGUACAGGUUUUCUCAGGGUCUACGGUUGAGGCAGAUAGACAUGAUGGAUGACAUUAUUGCAAGCAGUUCAGCGACUCUUAAUAAAAUGGCAACGAAAAUAAGGGAAGUCUGUGUCACAGCAGUUGAACGGAUGAGAAGACGUACAAGCCAGCAGAUUGGUGGAAGAAGGGAGUUUGUUGUGAUCGACGAAAGCCAUUUUCGGCACAAAAAAAGUAUGGUAGAGGAAGAAUGGCUGGCGGGUGGAAAAGAAAGAAAUGGGUCAAAUGUUAGGUGUGAGGCAUCAGCAGCAGCAAAUCUCUAGAAAACCUAUUCUACCUCUUCUGGAGAGAAGAUCUCGAAGACAUCUAGUCCCCUUGAUUGUGUAUCAUGUGAGGCCUGGAUAAUCAAUUAUCAGUGAUGUCUGGCGUGCCUAUCGCAUACUCCCUGCACUAGGGUACAACCAUCACACUGUCAACCACAGCAGGUGGUAUGUAGAUCCACACACUGGUGCCCAUACCCAGCAUAUUGAGAGGGGCUGGAAAUCCUACAAAGAGCAAAUCUGGAGGCUUAGGGGAAAUCGGACUGAGAUUUUGCUUUCUGACCAUCUUGCAGUGAUUGACUGGUAUGAAUCGAAACACCAUGAAUGUGCAUUUUGUCCGAUUGAUUCAUGACAUUUCCCGAAAGUACAAGUAGUCAUAUUCAGUCACAACCAGAACAAUUUCAUAUAAAAUUGUUUGAUCAUUUGUUCAAUAUUUGUUUUCCUAUCUCAGCUAAUUGUGUCUUUAGCUUGAAAUGUAGAAUUUAUUUGUAUUGUGUCACAGUAAGAUCUGAAUGUUGAA